AGAGAGAGACAUGCGCGCAUAUCAAUAAGCGGAGGAAAAGAAACUAACUAGGAUUCCCUCAGUAACGGCGAGUGAAGCGGGAAGAGCUCAAAUUUGAAAUCUUCAAGGUUCUACCUUGACGAAUUGUAGUUUAAAGAAGUGUUUUCUGUUGGAGGUUUUGGUAAAAGUUCUUUGGAAUAGGACAUCAUAGAGGGUGAGAAUCCCGUAUUUGACCAUUUACUUUCAGCUUUGUGAUACACUUUCAAAGAGUCGGAUUGUUUGGGAAUGCAGUCCAAAAUGGGUGGUAAAUUUCAUCUAAAGCUAAAUAUUGGCGAGAGACCGAUAGCGAACAAGUACCGUGAGGGAAAGAUGAAAAGAACUUUGAAAAGAGAGUUAAACAGUACGUGAAAUUGUCAAAAGGGAAGCGUUUGACACCAGUGUUGUUUUCUCGAAAAUCAAUUAAAAAAGGCAGGAUUUUGUGUUGUAUUGACUUUAUCAGCUUUCUGCACUCUUUUCUUGUCUUUUUUAAUGCACUUUUCGUUUAACAAGUCAACAUCAAUUUCUUUUGUUGUAAAAGGGUCAUUGGAAGGUGGCUUUCUUUUCGGAGAAAGUGUUUAUAGCCUUUGGCCUCUGCAAUCGGAGAGAUUGAGGUCUGCAGCGUAGAUCCUUCGGGGUUAGAUACAUUUGUGCUAAGUUAUAGCCUUUCAUAGACAACUUGUUGACUAUGAUCAGUCAUGUAGCUUACUCGCUUAUGCUAUUUUACCUACGCUUAGGAUGUUGAUGUGAUACUGCGAGCA
rnacentral:rRNA from 1 species